GGCUCAAUGGUUAUAGCACUCAAUAGCACUUAUUGAACUCAAUGGUUAUAGCAAACCCCAUUUAUAUCUUGAAGUCAUCAUGGCUGAAAGUAGGCAUAUAUACGAUCUUGGCUCAUUGAUUCAAGACAGUAAACCAGCGAGUUUUCUUUUGUAAGAAAGGAUUAUGAAGCAAAAGUCUCUGCUGCCAUUCCGACUAAAACAGACCUGUUUCGAAAAGGAAAGCUGGCGAGAGAUCUUAACGCAGAGUUGCUUAUCCCUAAGCAUAUGGGAGAUAAUUGGCGGGCUUUAAGAACUAGAGGUGAUGGUAACUGCGUGAACAUUUCUUUGCUAUCUCUACGUAUCUUUUUCUGCUCUUGGAGGAGUGAUAUUAUCAACGAAAGAAGAAGAACAUUUAUCAUUACUUGUUGCCUGCCUUUAGUACGAUGAUUACAUCGUGAACAUUUCUUUGCUAUAUCUACGUAUCUUUUUCUGCUGUUGUUCGACAAGUGGUAUCAAGUGUGAUUAAUGGUCAAAAACUUGUGCUUCAUUUGUGAGAUAUAAAAGGUUUCUUUGCGUUUCACGACAAAAAAUGUGCCAAGCUUCUACCUUUUCAAAAUCACUCGUGGAUUGGAAUGAUACCUUCCUGAUUGUAAGUUUUGGCGAAGAUAACAAGUUUUUUCCUGAUUCUGGAAGAUACAGCACUUCACGAAGACUAAUAUUUUGGGUACGACCAUUGGUAUCUGCCAAAAUAUUGUAUGAUCCUUUUCCAUACGCUGAUAUGGUUCGAUCAUCACCUAGGUUUACAAUGCAUGGCUUCUUGAAAUCCACAUAAUCAUAUAGACAGUUCUUUUGGUAUGUCAUGUGCUGAGUAGCACCAUAGUCUACAAUCCAGUGGGCAUUAUCUCCACAGUCGGAUGUAAUUAAAGCUUCUUGAUCAAGAUCAGCUUUAUCUUUCUCUGUACAAUGGACGAAUCCCUUAUUUUGAUCACCAUGUUGUUGCUUAUUCCCUCUUCUAUAACGUUCUGGACAGUCUCUGCCAAAGUGUCCCUUUUUCUUGCAAUUGUGACAAACUCCUUGAAAUUGUUUGUUAUAAUCCCUUCGUUCUUUCCCUUUUCCAUGAGUUGACUUGUCAUUGUUGAAUCUACCUCUUUGAACGGAAUAGGCAUCCUCAUACUUCUUUUCAUCACCCAUUCUGUCCACAUCAUUCAACAACAUGUCUUUGACUUUUUCAAACGUUAAGCUGUCUUCCGCAACAGCAUCUAAUGCGGUAAUCAGAGGUUUGUACUCAUCAGGCAGACUUGCCAACAAGGUCAUCGCCAAUUCCUUGUCAUUUACACUUAUCCCCAUCUCUCGCAUUUGAUCAUGAAGUGAACGCAUGUGAUUGAUAUGUUGCAACAUAUUACUUCCAGACUGGAAUUUGCAGGAAAAGUAUUGCUGCCUUAACUUGAU